rnacentral:lncRNA from 1 species
GCUGGCGCGGGGGCGGAGCCGCGGAUAGAGUUAGGGACGUAGUCCCGCACCCUUGGCGCGCGCCUGGCCUUCAUCGUGGGGCCGAGAGUUGGUUUUAGUGGUGGGAGAGGGAAUGGGGAUGGGGGUUGGGGGCCCCCAGGGCUCCCGAGGCUGAAGACAGCUUGGAUCGCCAGCCGAGGGAGUGGGGAGUUGCGCAUCCCUGCCCGGGCCUCUGCCGCCCAACAUGGGCCCCGGGUUCCAAAGUUUGCGAAGUUGGGCGCCAAGGGGCCGGGGCGCACUGAGCGUCUGGGAGAAGCCGGCCCCGAACUCAAGGGGCGCACAGGUCGCUUGAGCCGCCUCCGCGGCCCCCAGGGUUGUGAGUGUGGCCGGGGGGCUCUGGGGAGCGGGCGGGGGC